rnacentral:rRNA from 1 species
AAUAUUGCACAAUGGGCGCAAGCCUGAUGCAGCCAUGCCGCGUGUAUGAAGUAAGGCCUUCGGGUUGUAAAGUACUUUCAGCAGUGAGGAAGGUGGGUAUGUUAAUAGCAUAUUCAUUUGACGUUAGCUGCAGAAGAAGCACCGGCUAACUCCGUGCCAGCAGCCGCGGUAAUACGGAGGGUGCGAGCGUUAAUCGGUAAUUACUGGGCGUAAAGCGCAUGCAGGUGGUUUGUUAAGUCAGAUGUGAAAGCCCGGGGCUCAACCUCGGAAUUGCAUUUGAAACUGGCAAACUAGAGUACUGUAGAGGGGGUAGAAUUUCAGGUGUAGCGGUGAAAUGCGUAGAGAUCUGAAGGAAUACCGGUGGCGAAGGCGGCCCCCUGGACAGAUACUGACACUCAGAUGCGAAAGCGUGGGGAGCAAACAGGAUUAGAUACCCUGGUAG